AUUAGAAUCUGCUACACAAGCAAUUGGGCCCAUACCCCAAAAACGAUAACAAUAUCUUCUAAUA
rnacentral:tRNA from 1 species